ACGCCUUAUACAUGCAAGUCGAACGAAGUAGCAAUACUUAGUGGCAGACGGGUGAGUAACAUGUGGGUAUCUUCCCUUUGGUGAGGAAUAACACGAGGAAACUUGUGCUAAUACCUCAUAAGUCUUUACGGAGAAAGCUUUAUGCGCCAAUGGAUGAGCCCGCACUUGAUUAGUUAGUUGGUAGGGUAAUGGCCUACCAAGACUUUGAUCAAUAGCUGAUUUGAGAGGAUGAUCAGCCACAUUGGGACUGAGACACGGCCCAAACUUCUACGGGAGGCAGCAGUAGGGAAUCUUGCACAAUGGAGGAAACUCUGAUGCAGCGAUGCCGCGUGAGUGAAGAAGGCCUUUGGGUUGUAAAGCUCUUUCGUCGGGGAAGAAAAUGACUGUACCCGAAUAAGAAGGUCCGGCUAACUUCGUGCCAGCAGCCGCGGUAAUACGAAGGGACCUAGCGUAGUUCGGAAUUACUGGGCUUAAAGAGUUCGUAGGUGGUUAAAAAAGUUGGUGGUGAAAUCCCAGAGCUUAACUCUGGAACUGCCAUCAAAACUUUUUAGCUAGAGUAUGAUAGAGGAAAGCAGAAUUUCUAGUGUAGAGGUGAAAUUCGUAGAUAUUAGAAAGAAUACCAAUUGCGAAGGCAGCUUUCUGGAUCAUUACUGACACUGAGGAACGAAAGCAUGGGUAGCGAAGAGGAUUAGAUACCCUCGUAGUCCAUGCCGUAAACGAUGUGUGUUAGACGUUGGAAAUUUAUUUUCAGUGUCGCAGUGAAAGCGAUAAACACACCGCCUGGGGAGUACGACCGC
rnacentral:rRNA from 1 species